rnacentral:miRNA from 1 species
CAGUGCGGCUGGCUGGAGAUGC